GCAAACUGAGACUGUAGGCUUCCUGGAUUCUGCUUUGCAGCUAUCAUUCCUGGAUUCUGCUUUGCAGCUAUCAUCUGGCCCUUUGUGCAUGCUAAGAGAUUGAUGGAAGGUGCCCGACUCCCUCUAGUGGUGGGCACUCCUAGGCAAACAGGAUGAUUCUGCCCGGAGGAGUCCAAAGCCAAGAAUGAGUGUCCUUAAAUGCCCU
rnacentral:lncRNA from 1 species